AGGGUUAUGGGGUGCUAUGGGGUGGUGAUGGGGUGGUUAUGGAGUGGUUAUGGGGUGCUAUGGGGUGGCUAUGGGGGGGUUAUGGGGUUAUGGGGUGGAUAUGUGGUGGCGAUGGGGUGGAUAUGGGGUUCUGAUGGGGUUAUGGGGUGGCUAUGGGGGGUUAUAGGGUGGUUAUGGGGUGGUGAUGGGGUUAUGGGGUGGUUAUGGGGUGAUGGAGCGGGGUUAUGGGGCUAUAGGGUGGGAUUAUGGGGUUAUGGGUGGGGUUAUGGGGUGGUUAUGGCGUGGUUAUGGGGUGAUGGAGUGGAGUUAUGGGGCUAUAGGGUGGGGUUAUGGGGUUAUGGGGUUAUGGGGUGGCUAUAGGGGCGGUGAUGGGGUGGUGAUGGGUUGAUGGAAUGGGGUUAUGGGGCUAUAGGGUGGGGUUAUGGGGUGGUUAUGGGGUGAUGGAGUGGGGUUAUGGGGCUAUAGGGUGGGGUUAUGGGGUUGUGGGGUGGUUAUGGGGCUGCUUAUGGGGUUGUGGGGCUGAGUUGUGCAGCAGAGCCUCCCAGGGCCAUCUGUGGGGCAGAUCUAUGGGGCAGAGCCCCCUCAGUGCCAUCUAUGGGGCAGAUCUAUGGGGCAGAGCCCCCCCAGUGAAAUCUAUGGGGCAGAUCUAUGGGGCAGAGCCAUACCUGUGCCAUCUAUGGGGCAGAGCCCCCCCAGUGCCAUCUAUGGGGCAGAUCUAUGGGGCGAAUCUAUGGGGUACAGCCUCCCCAGUGAAAUCUAUGGGGCAGAGCCUCCUCAGUUACCAUCUAGGAAGCGGAUCUAUGGGGCAGAGCCCCCCCAUGAAAUCUAUGGGGCAGAUCUAUGGGGCAGAGCCAUACCUGUGCCACCUAUGGGGUGGAGCUAUGGGGCAGAGCCCCCCCAGUGCCGUCUAUGGGGCAGAGCCCCCUCAGUUACCAUCUAUGAAGCGGAUCUAUGGGGCAGAUCUAUGGGGCAGAGCCAUACCUGUGCCAUCUAUAGGGUGGAUCUAUGGGGCAGAGCCCCCCCAGUGAAAUCUAUGGGGCGAAUCUAUGGGACAGAGUCCCCUCAGUGCCACCUAUGGGGCAGAGCCCCCCCAGUGCCACCCAUGGGGCAGA
ensembl:lncRNA